UCGAACGAACUUCCGUUAAUUGAUUAUGACGUACUUGUACUGAUUGAGAUUUUAACACGAAGUGAGUGGCGAACGGGUGAGUAACACGUGGGUAACCUGCCCAGAAGUAGGGGAUAACACCUGGAAACAGAUGCUAAUACCGUAUAACAGAGAAAACCGCAUGGUUUUCUUUUAAAAGAUGGCUCUGCUAUCACUUCUGGAUGGACCCGCGGCGUAUUAGCUAGUUGGUGAGGUAAAGGCUCACCAAGGCAGUGAUACGUAGCCGACCUGAGAGGGUAAUCGGCCACAUUGGGACUGAGACACGGCCCAGACUCCUACGGGAGGCAGCAGUAGGGAAUCUUCCACAAUGGACGCAAGUCUGAUGGAGCAACGCCGCGUGAGUGAAGAAGGGUUUCGGCUCGUAAAGCUCUGUUGUUAAAGAAGAACGUGGGUAAGAGUAACUGUUUACCCAGUGACGGUAUUUAACCAGAAAGCCACGGCUAACUACGUGCCAGCAGCCGCGGUAAUACGUAGGUGGCAAGCGUUAUCCGGAUUUAUUGGGCGUAAAGCG
rnacentral:rRNA from 1 species